GAUCAACGCUGGCGGCGUGCCUAAUGCAUGCAAGUCGAGCGGGGUGGGUUUCGGCUCACUUACGCGGCGGACGGGUGCGUAACACGUGGGCAAUCUGCCCUGGGGUGGGGGAUAGCCGUGGGAAACCGCGGGUAAUUCCGCAUACGUGCUGUGGUCGAGAGGACGGCAGCAGAAAGGGUCUUUCGGGACGCGCCCUGGGAGGAGCCUGCGGCCGAUUAGCUGGACGGUGGGGUGACGGCCUACCGUGGCGAUGAUCGGUAGCUGGUCUGAGAGGACGGCCAGCCACACGGGGACUGAGACACGGCCAGACUCCUACGGGAGGCAGCAGUGGGGAAUCUUGCGCAA
rnacentral:rRNA from 1 species